rnacentral:rRNA from 1 species
AACGAACGCUGGCGGCAGGCUUAACACAUGCAAGUCGAACGCUCGACCUUCGGGUCGGGAGUGGCAGACGGGUGAGUAACGCGUGGGAACGUACCCUUCGGUUCGGAAUAACCCAGGGAAACUUGGGCUAAUACCGGAUACGUCCUGGCCUGGAGACAGGGUGGGAGAAAGGUUUACUGCCGAAGGAUCGGCCCGCGUCGGAUUAGCUAGUUGGUGGGGUAACGGCCCACCAAGGCGACGAUCCGUAGCUGGUCUGAGAGGAUGAUCAGCCACACUGGGACUGAGACACGGCCCAGACUCCUACGGGAGGCAGCAGUGGGGAAUAUUGGACAAUGGGCGAAAGCCUGAUCCAGCCAUGCCGCGUGAGUGAAGAAGGCCUUAGGGUUGUAAAGCACUUUCAGUA